rnacentral:rRNA from 1 species
GACGUAGGGGGGCGAGCGUUGUCCGGAAUUAUUGGGCGUAAAGAGCGUGUAGGCGGUUCGGUAAGUCUGCCGUGAAAACCUGGGGCUCAACCCCGGGCGUGCGGUGGAUACUGCCGGGGCUAGAGGGUGGUAGAGGCGAGUGGAAUUCCCGGGUGUAGCGGUGAAAUGGCGCAGAUAUCGGGAGGAACACCAGUAGCGAAGGCGGCUCGCUGGGCCAUUCCUGACGCUGAGACGCGAAAGCUAGGGGAGCGAACAGG